AUGAAAACGAUGUACCACAUGUGCCACACCAGCAUUCUAUCAACACUGCACACCUGUUUUUGUGAAUGCGUGUGGACAACAUCGGCAUCGAAAGAACGAUUUCCAAAGCAUAUUGAGAUUCCAAAAGCAACCAUAGGGAAUAAAGGAGAUAUAAAAGAUAAUCUAAUGCAAUGCCUUUCAAAUCGAGCUGCAAUGGCGAAUGUCGAGAUCAUGCCGCUUGGACAGAAUAAAGGCGUCGGGACGAGCACGACCGCUGAUGGCAUUGCCAUUUCAGCUGAAGCCGUGUAUGUGGAAAAAGAUCGAUGGUAA
rnacentral:rRNA from 1 species